CUGCCUCCGGGUUCAAGUGAUUCUCCUGCCUCAGCCUCCCAAGUAGCUGGGACUACAGGUGCACGCCACCACACCCAGCUAAUUUUUGUAUUUUUAGCAGAGAUUGGUUUUCACUAUGUUGGCCAGGAUGGUCUCGAUCUCUUGACCUCAUGAUCCACCUGCCUCGGCCUCCCAAAGUGCUGGGAUUACAGGAAUGAGCCACUGCGCCCAGACUUCAUCUGUAUUUUUAACUGUACCUUUCCAAAGGAUGCCAUUGGAAGGACAUUGAUUUAACUUAACUAGGGGGAAAUGUCUUUGCUUUGGUGUGUGUCUCUGGUUUGGCUUCUCUAGUCUCUACUUUUAACACCAGGAUUUGAAAGAUGAAAGAGCUUGAGGGUGGUUUUAUUGUCAAGUAGCAUCUAAUCGAUGGGUAGCAGAGGGUUUUAUUAAAGCUGUAAAUUCAAUUUCCUAGGAAUUUUGAAGGUUCAGAAGGGUUCUGGAGGGCAAAAAUAUGGUAAAACACUGCUUUUUUUUCAGCCAGAAAUGUACAUAAUGGUUACAGAUUGUCAAAGACUGGAGCUAAAGGGUAAAGUAACCAUGGCCUUUUUGUUGUCACUAUUUAGUUUGUGUAGUUGCCAAGUGUGUUUCUAAUGCAACCUUAGGUCAUCGGCAUUAAAAAAGUUUUGUGUAAAUAUCAUUUACUGCCUCAAGUCCUUGCUCUUUCACCCUAAAGAUUUGGAAAGUUAAAAAAAAAAAAAAGCCUGCUAAUCGCCUCUGGGUGUUACCAGCCUGCAUUAGCUCUAAGGCAAUCCAUCCCUCAGCAUGGGACUCCC
rnacentral:lncRNA from 1 species